rnacentral:lncRNA from 1 species
AAUUGGUAGCUUAAGGUGACUACAAUCAAAGAGAAUGGUUGACUUUGAAGAAACCAUCUUUGAGAUAGUCUUAGUUUCAAUUAAUUCGAAGAUUGCUAGCUACAACUAAAUGGUGAUUCAAUGUUUGGACAUAAUAUGGGUUUCCGAAACCAUUAUUAAGAUAGUCUUGAUAAUAUAUGUCUAAAACUAAAAAUCACAAGACAUGUAAGUUGUAGAGAUCCAUCCAUCAUGAAUCUUAGCAAGCUAGUGGGAGCUAUAUGCGUCUUAUGAGAGAAAGAUCAAAUCGUUUGAUUUCUCAUAAAGAUAUAAAUGAAUCUUUUGUUUACUAGGUUUACAAAAGAUUAGUGGGAGUUAAUCAUGUUCCUAAAAUUAAAAUAUAUAUGAUAUAUUAAUUUUGGAAAUGAAAAGAAUACUUCUUCGUUAAUGUUAUGACUUUAAGCAUUCUAUAAAGAUAGAAUGUAUAUGGGAAACAUAGUCUGUAUACAUGGGAUGGAAAUCUAUAUUGAUAGAUUUUAGGAUAUAAUUGGAUUAUAUCAUACCCUAAUAAUAGACAAAAUAUGCUAGGAAGUCUUUCAUAUGAUGAUAAACUUCAAUUAGGAGGACAAUUCUAGUUGGACUAAGAAGUUGCUCUUCUCAAAGAGAACGUACUCUUUGACUCCCAAAGAAAUAAUGCGUAAAUAGAAUCCUUUAUACAUACGCAGAAAGGUGAUUUAUGUAUUUCAUAUUGUAUGAAAAACAUUGAUAUGAGUUGUACCUAGAACGGUACAAGACGAUAUCAGUGCAAGCCCCGGAUCAGAACCAUGGCAACUGUCAAGUGAGUCCUUAAGUAUUUAAGAAAUACUAAAGGAUAUAUUCCUCAAAGAAUGUUGAAGAAUUAGAGUAACGUAAUGGAAGUGUAAAUGUAUUAGAUCAUAGGAUUGUCAAUUGGGCAUUGACAGUCCGUAAAGAUCGG